rnacentral:lncRNA from 1 species
AUGGACGAGCUGCUUCCAGACCAUACGCCCGAUCACAGUCAGGAUACCAAGACGACGGAGAGACUCCCAGCUUCUUUCGAAUUGAAAGAUUCGGAAGAAAAACCACCAUCAGUGGCACCUAAAGAUUACGUACCAUCAGCUGGCACACCAAACCGGAGACCGAGUUUUGGUAGACGCCGGGAAUCGGAAACAACGCCUAAAAUGGUGACAUCUUUCAAAUCUCAGUUCGGUUUGGACGAUUUGGACGACCCUAUGGCUGGGUUGAAACCCAGAGAGCUGUCGGAGAAACGCUUCAAUGUGAAAUCACCCAACGAAGUCGUAUCGAACGAUCCUAUGAGCAUUUUAGGUAAGGAGAUGACAGAAUUCAAAGAUUCUGCCGGGAUUGCUCGGAGGGACCAAAGCCAGCUCCCUUCGUGGCUUACGGAUCAAACAUCUCAAAGAGCUUCAGUUGCGUCUUCGGAAGCUUUAACCACCUCAACAUGUCUGUUUCUACACCUGUCAAGGCCCCAGUUCUUUCUGACACCAAAGAAUCAGUGCAAGGCGACGGCAUUUCACAAGGUAACGCUUUUUCAGGUCGUUCAUUAAUUUUAAUUCAUGCUUUCGACGAUCAGAUGAGAUUGGUAACAUUUUUGGAAACGAGAGAUAUAUACGUUAUUUUUUAAACAUUUUUCUCAAAUAAAAAAUGUCCUUAAAAAAGUUGAAUUCAAAGACUCCGUAUUAACAUCAAUGGACCACCAGACAAGGCAUGAACGACAAAUCAAAGUAAAGUGAUUUAUUUUCAAUAUCUCCCGCAGAAAACGAUUCUACAUAAUUGGGAAGUGCAAAUAUCAACUCCUAAACGAGAUAUUAACAAGCGAUUUUGAUGUGGAUCAAAUGGAAGUUAGAUUACCCAAAUGAGGUCAUUUGUAUUUUUAGGUACCAUCUAUCCGAUGUAAAUUGUAAAUGAAAAAUUGCACGUUGAAAUCAGUAGCUUUCACGCUUUAGCGGAUACAUUUUUUUCAUAUUCUUUCUUCGGUUACUUAUUCCUUCUUACGCAUAUUUGUUGAUUUGAAUAUGUCAGCACCAACAGAGUCUCACAUAAAAUCGGCGAUAUCUCUGGGAGAAAAAGCCUUCGUAUCGGAAAAAACGAUCCAGUCAUUGCAACAAACUCAUUCUCAGUUAUUGUCCGUCCUGAAAAUGCAGCAACAAAAGGAGAUGAUGGACAGCAUAACGGCAAGGCAGUUGGCAGUGUUGCACAAACAGGAGGAGCAAAUAGAGCAGCUCAUUCAAAAACAUUUGCAGAAGCAGAUGGAAGCAGAGGCCAUUGUUGAGAAACAGAUGCAACAGAUAAACGAUAUCAUCCUGGUAAAAUUAUAUUUUUAUAUACCUACGGAAAGUUUAGGCCUCUUAGAAUUCCACCCCGUUUAGGACUCUCGUAGGGGUUAGUAUCAGAUAAUUUCGACGAGACCGUUUCUUCUGACACAAAAUUUACACAAGUGUCGGCGCAAAAUUUUCUCUAUGUCAGAAUUAAUGAACUCAAUGGGACAUCGAUUUGAUCUUACGACAAAUUCGCCCUACAGUUGAUUUACCCGGGAAAAAUCACGACGGUACAACUGAUUCAAAAGCGAAGUCACCUCGUCCCCUCCUUUAUUGCAAUAUACCUAUUGUGGGAUUUCAGGAAAUGUUUCCUAUCAUUUGGAGAACAUUACUGCCAAAAUUUUGCCCAUGACUUGGGAAAAUAUGAUAAGUUUCCAUUUUAGGCACAUAGUGCUAUACAAUCCCUACCCGGUUACAUAAUUUUUUGGUAAACUCUUCGAUACUGAAAAAUUUGAUGACAAAUUGCUGUAAAUGACUUGCGACUAUGAUGAAAAUGGAAUAAUCGUGCAUAUAGGCGUAGCUGGAGAAAUUUUCUGAAAGUGGUCUGGCCUCUACUUUUCCAGGAAUAUGUGUGAAAACUGACCUCUCUUGGGUGCCUUUUGAGGAUAUUCUCUCGCAAAAUUUGACAAUAUGCAAAAUAAAGUGAGGUUCAGCUCUAACGGUAUCUCAAAAAACAACUUGAAAUUUUUCCGAUUGCAGCAUUCAAUGAAAAGAUGAGAUGUGCCAUUUUUAGGACUUGUUUUCUAUUGUGCGGAUAUUCUACGGAGGCCAUGAUGAUUUGAUACUUGUAUGUAUUCUAAUACACCCGUUGUGCUUAAUCUGAUUUUGAGACUUAUUUUUUCUUUGCUAUUUCAUUCAAAGGUGUUAAUGUCUCAACCAGACACAGGGAAACCCAUUAUUAUGGACGAAACUAUUAGCAAAGGGAAAAGCGCAGAGAGAGCGGACGAAGGAAUUUUUCCAACAGAGGUUAUAAACUUAAAUAGACAAAUUUUAAAUUUGGAGGAUAGUAUGCAGCAUUUAGAGUUCGAAAACAAAAAAUUACAACUACAGUUGGAGUUUGCAGAGAAUCGAUACAAACUUGAAUUGGAAUCCGUCGAGAAAAAUCUCAAUUACGAGCUACAAAUGAGCACGAAAAGAGAGGAAAAAUUGAAUAAGUCUCUGGAACAGAUGGAAAAAGAAUACGAGGAAAAACUGGGCAAAUUGAAACAGAAUGAGAUGGAGCAACGAAACUCGUACGAGGAGAAAAUAAGCGUACUGCAAAAUGAGAGACUGAAGGAUUAUCAAAAGCUGAACGAAAUUCAAAAAUCCGUUCUGGAGCAGACGUUUUCAUUCGAGGCACAGUCGCACUUUAAAGAUUUCGGGUGAGUUCCCACGUAAGCAUUUUGUUACUAAAAUGUUGCAAAAAUAUGGCAAUAAGUUGCAAAAUUAUUACAAAUGUUUGCAAAAUUCUUGUAAUUUUUUUCAACAUUUGACACAAUCUUUUUUUGUUCAUCGAGGAAAAAAUUAAUUAAUUUCAUGGGAAAGAAA